rnacentral:lncRNA from 1 species
CACACAACAGCUGUGUGGCUUGAGCAGUGACGGCUCUUUUGUGUAAAGCAGAAAUCUGUCCAGGCAUCUGCACAGUGAAAUAUCUCCUGUGCUCUCUACUUGUAGCCUGGCUGGAACCUUGCGCGAUGGACCCUGUGAUAACAGCCACUUGUGCAGAGAGGAGCGAACUGCUAACGCAAACAAAUUCGGAGCCAGACAGACCCUGCCUCGAGCACCCCAGAAGAUCAGUGAGCUUUAUCUCAGCCAUGGGGAGUGUGGUGAUGGUUCCUCUUUCGCCUUCUCAUCACCCCUGC